UACGGGGGGGGCAAGCGUUGUUCGGAAUUACUGGGCGUAAAGGGCGCGUAGGCGGCCUUCUAAGUCGAACGUGAAAUCCCCGGGCUCAACCCGGGAACUGCGUCCGAUACUGGAAGGCUUGAAUCCGGGAGAGGGAUGUGGAAUUCCAGGUGUAGCGGUGAAAUGCGCAGAUAUCGGGAGGAACACCUAUUGCGAAGGCAGCUCGCUGGGACGUCACUGACGCUGAGACGCGAAAGCGUGGGGAGCAAACAGG
rnacentral:rRNA from 1 species